UACAGAGACUGCAAGCGUUAUUCGGAUUCACUGGGCGUAAAGGGUGCGCAGGCGGUCGGGUGUGUCAGACGUGAAAUCCCGAGGCUCAACCUCGGAACUGCGUCUGAAACUACUCGACUAGAGUACUGGAGAGGGUAACGGAAUUCACGGUGUAGCAGUGAAAUGCGUAGAUAUCGUGAGGAACACCAGAGGCGAAGGCGGUUACCUGGACAGUUACUGACGCUCAGGCACGAAAGCCAGGGGAGCAAACGGG
rnacentral:rRNA from 1 species